rnacentral:tRNA from 1 species
CGGGACGUGGCCUAGUUUGGUUCAGGGCACCUGGCUGGGGGCCAGGGGAUCGGGAGUUCGAAUCUCCCCGUCCCGA